rnacentral:rRNA from 1 species
AUUGAACGCUGGCGGCAUGCUUUACACAUGCAAGUCGAACGGCAGCGCGGGCUUCGGCCUGGCGGCGAGUGGCGAACGGGUGAGUAAUAUAUCGGAACGUACCCAAGAGUGGGGGAUAACGUAGCGAAAGUUACGCUAAUACCGCAUACUAUCUAAGGGUGAAAGCAGGGGAUCGCAAGACCUUGUGCUCCUGGAGCGGGCUAUAUCUGAUUAGCUAGUUGGUGAGGUAAAGGCUCACCAAGGCAACGAUCAGUAGCUGGUCUGAGAGGACGACCAGCCACACUGGAACUGAGACACGGUCCAGACUCCUACGGGAGGCAGCAGUGGGGAAUUUUGGACAAUGGGGGCAACCCUGAUCCAGCAAUGCCGCGUGAGUGAAGAAGGCCUUCGGGUUGUAAAGCUCUUUUGUCAGGGAAGAAAAGGUCGUGGCUAAUAUCCACGACUGCUGACGGUACCUGAAGAAUAAGCACCGGCUAACUACGUGCCAGCCGCCGCGGUAACAC